GAUAGAUAUUAAUUUAAAUAUUUAAUCUAAGAAUAUAAGGGUAGAGCUUUAUCAUUCAAUAAUAAAUGAAAUAUAAGUUAAUAAGUAUUUAUUUUGAUAAUUAGGUUUUUUAGUGGCCAUAUUUUUAAAGUGUUUUAACUAAUAUAAUUGAAUAAUUUAUUUAUUAGAUUUUAUUAAAUUAAUAAUAUGUUUUUUAAAAUGGAUAAAUAUUAGAAAUAAUGAAAAUAUUAGUAGAAUUAAUAUAUGAGAAAAAAGAAAAGUAUUAAAAGUAAAAUAUGAAAAUAGUUAAGAAAAAAAUAAAGGAACUCGGCAAAUAAGGUUCUUGCCUGUUUAACAAAAACAUGUCUCUAUGAAGUUAUAUGAAGUCUGACCUGCCCAUUGAAAUUUAUUAAAAGGCCGCGGUAUAUUAACUGUGCAAAGGUAGCAUAAUUAGUAGUUUUUUAAUUGAAGGCUUGUAUGAAAGGUUGGACAAGGGAUAAGCUGUCUUUAUUUUUAUUUUUGAAUUUGUCUUUUAAGUGAAAAGACUUAAAUAAGUUUAAGGGACGAUAAGACCCUAUAAAUCUUUAUAUUAGUUUAAUUUUAUUUUAAAUUUUAAUGUUUAAAAGAGUAAAGUUAAUAUAGUAUUGUAUUGGGGUGAUAGGAAUAAUUAGUAAACUGUUCGAAGGUAUAAACAAAAAUAUUUGAUUAUAAUUAUUAGUAGAUCCUUAGUGGAGAUUACAAGUUUAAGUUACUUUAGGGAUAACAGCGUUAUUUUUUUUGAGAGUUCUAAUCGAAAAAGAAGUUUGCGACCUCGAUGUUGAAUUAAAAUUUCUUUGUGGUGUAGUAGUUACAAGAGAGAGUCUGUUCGACUUUUAAAAUUUU
rnacentral:rRNA from 1 species